rnacentral:rRNA from 1 species
CCUACGGGAGGCAGCAGUGGGGAAUAUUGCACAAUGGGGGAAACCCUGAUGCAGCGACGCCGCGGGAAGGAAGAAGGUUUUCGGAUCGUAAACUUCUAUCAGCAGGGAAGAAGAAAGUGGCAGUACCUGACUAAGAAGCCCCGGCUAACUACGUGCCAGCAGCCGCGGUAAUACGUAGGGGGCAAGCGUUAUCCGGAAUCACUGGGUGUACAGGGUGCGUAGGCGGUAGGGCAAGUCAGAUGUGAAAGCCCGGGGCUCAACCCCUGGAUUGCAUUUGAAACUGUCUUACUAGAGUGCAGGAGCGGAAAGCGGAAUUCCUAGUGUAGCGGUGAAAUGCGUAGAUACUAGGAAGAACACCAGUGGCGCAGGCGGCUUUCUGGACUGUAAAUGACGCAGAGGCACGAAAGCGUCGCGAGCGAACAGGAUGAGAUACACCUGUAGUC